ensembl:lncRNA
AUAAGUAAUUGUGUCUUGCCUUAUUAAAAAGAUAAUCGCUAUAUUAACCCAUGAAUAAAAUAAGUGGCAAGUGCAGCCCUAUUGGCCACAAUGAUGACAUCUCAAACUCGUUGGCCUGAAACAUGUUCAGCGGCUCCACAGUUGCCUACGAGUGGAUAUCUUGCAGUAAAUAUACAGAAAGGUGCAGAGAAGGCCAUUUAUCUUUCAAGCAUUCUGUUCUUCUCUCCCCUCAUUGUCAUGCUCCAGCCAGAGGAGGAAACCGGCUAGUGCACACAGGAGGGCUGAAAUGUGGUUUCAGUGGCUGGGCCCCUGCAGCAUCCCACCCUCAGGUGGAAAACCUCUCAGACUGUGUUGGCACAUCACCGCUCCAAUUAUCAACAGUACGAGUGCCCUUUCAUUUCCAUUACAUAUUUCCUCCCUUUCUUCCUACUGCACCUUCCCUCUGCUUUGCCUGUGCUCUCAUCUCCAGGCCCCGGCCCCUUCACCCUCAACACUCUCCAUCCAAUCUUUGGACUCAAAGAUGAGAACAAUCUCACCCUUUUUUUUCCCUCCUCACAACUGUGUUAUUCUGCACUGAACGGGCACUCUCACCAAGCCGGUACCUACUUUACUCGUCCCUGUCAGGAUUUAGGCUGGGAACGUCCCUCUAAAUGGAAACGUAUUGGAUUCGCUCCUCCUGGAAAGGAUCUGAUGAUUCUACUGAGGACACUGAAAUCAACAAGAGAAUUAUACUUUCACAUAUAUGUUGGAACUACUUUUACAUUGCAAUUCUUGUCCUGUUAUAUUCACUUGCCUUUUCAUUAAUCAUUUGUUUUUUGCUAUCCUCUUUCAUUCCUGUGUGCCAUUCCACUUUCAUAAAGAAAACACACACUUUGUCAUGUAAGCCUCGAAGAAAACAUUUCCAGGUGCUAAACAAUCACAAUUCAUAAUUUUAGCAUUGAAUCACUGCAUGCUGUGAGUGAUAUAACAAAAUCCGUAGAGCUACAGGUCCAGAAGACACGAUUCAUCAUUUUGGGGAUCCUACUAUACUUCUCUUGCACGCUGGGGAGACUUUGUCUUCCCAUUAUAAUUAGCAUCAAGGCUCCUUCUGUCUAGAAGCCAGCCAGCAAGGGCACUCAGGGAUGGUUGAGUCAAUAUGUCUUCUCUGCACUUUUUAAUACAGAAGUGCAGAGUGACUGACAAGUCAUUUCAACAGGGCUCGGUUCCCAGAUUUCCAUCCUUUCUCUCAGUGCCGUCUGUUGCGGAGGAAACUGACUAAGCAGCUGUUUCAACUUCUUGUCAAGGACUAAUAGAAACUUAAUAUGCAUUAUGCAUGCAUGCAUGUUAUAUUACAAUCCAUUUUACAGUAGUUACAGAUACCUGCAAUGGUUCAAAUUAAAACCAGAGAAAAAGCUCAGAAAUGUGUGGUUAACAUUCAAUGCAAGCUAUAUUUAAAUAGUGUAAUAAUGCAAAUUUAAGACUGGAGCGAAAUAACUUAAAUGAUGUUGACCGAACAAUAGGAAAUGACCUCCCAGAGAAAGCUUCAACUGAUGCCUGACAAAAUGCAAAACAUGGUUAGUUAAUUACUAAUCCCAUUUACUCAACUGGGCCUGCAACCCGCAUGGCUUUAAACAUCACACACAAUAUAACAAAUAAUUACACAAACACACGCAUACCUGAAUGUUUUUUUUGUACCUUUAGUAGAAUACACAACUUAUUACAAAAUAUCAGUGAGCAUUCCUGCGAACGAAGCUAGCCUUGAACUUUAAUUAAGUUAGCAGGAUAACAAAGGGUCAAAGUUCUUAGUAUCUCUCACAAAACUGGCUCGUACUUCAAAAUGUAAUUCACAGUUGUUAACUUUUAUUCAUCUUUUUUUCUGCUCACAAGGCUAUUAAGAGAUGGACGAUCACUUCUAUCGAUCUCUGCGCAUGGAGUAUCAAAGGAAUCACUUUUUUUACACAAGGGAAAUGUGACAACUUGUUCACUUCACAUAUGGAACAGUAACGUAUUUCAAACCCUUUUUUCACUCUGAAGCAGAAGUUACAGUUAAAAUCUAAGAAGUGACUGAAGCAGGAGUUUAAAAGUAAAAUCGAAUCGGGAUUGAAACUGAAAACUCGCUUUUUGCCUCCAUCGGAAAACAGAAAGAUGUGUUGCUAUUAAUGUGGCCAGGAGCUGUAUUUUUUGUCUAUCCUGCCUGCACUGAAAUGCCCUCUGGG